CAGUAGCCGCGGGAAUACGUAGGUGGCAAGCGUUGUCCGGAAUUAUUGGGCGUAAAGGGCUCGCAGGCGGUUUCUUAAGUCUGAUGUGAAAGCCCCCGGCUCAACCGGGGAGGGUCAUUGGAAACUGGGAAACUUGAGUGCAGAAGAGGAGAGUGGAAUUCCACGUGUAGCGGUGAAAUGCGUAGAGAUGUGGAGGAACACCAGUGGCGAAGGCGACUCUCUGGUCUGUAACUGACGCUGAGGAGCGAAAGCGUGGGGAGCGAACAGGAUUAGAUACCCCAGUAGUCCCUGUCUCUUAUAC
rnacentral:rRNA from 1 species